rnacentral:rRNA from 1 species
AAUCAACGCUGGCGGCGUGCCUAACACAUGCAAGUCGAACGAGAAAGUGGAGCAAUCCAUGAGUAAAGUGGCGACCGGGUGAGUAACACGUGACUAACCUACCUCCGAGUGGGGAAUAACUCCGGGAAACCGGGGCUAAUACCGCAUAACAUCGCAAGAUCAAAGCAGCAAUGCGCUUGGAGAGGGGGUCGCGGCUGAUUAGCUAGUUGGCGGGGUAACGGCCCACCAAGGCGAAGAUCGGUAUCCGGCCUGAGAGGGCGCACGGACACACUGGAACUGAAACACGGUCCAGACUCCUACGGGAGGCAGCAGUGGGGAAUUUUGCGCAAUGGGGGAAACCCUGACGCAGCAACGCCGCGUGGAGGAUGAAGCCCUUUGGGGCGUAAACUCCUUUCGACCAAGACGAUAAU